CCUACGGGAGGCAGCAGUGAGGAAUAUUGGUCAAUGGACGAGAGUCUGAACCAGCCAAGUAGCGUGAAGGAUGACUGCCCUAUGGGUUGUAAACUUCUUUUAUAUGGGAAUAACAUGUUCCACGUGUGGGAUUUUGUAUGUACCAUAUGAAUAAGGAUCGGCUAACUCCGUGCCAGCAGCCGCGGUAAUACGGAGGAUCCGAGCGUUAUCCGGAUUUAUUGGGUUUAAAGGGAGCGUAGGUGGAUUGUUAAGUCAGUUGUGAAAGUUUGCGGCUCAACCGUAAAAUUGCAGUUGAAACUGGCAGUCUUGAGGACAGUAGAGGUGGGCGGAAGUCGUGGUGUAGCGGUGAAAUGCUUAGAUAUCACGAAGAACUUCGAUUGCGAAGGCAGUUCACUGGACUGCAACUGACACUGAGGCUCGAAAGUGUGGGUAUCAAACAGGAUUAGAUACCCCAGUAGUC
rnacentral:rRNA from 1 species